rnacentral:lncRNA from 12 species
CGCCUGAAAGCAAUAGGAUGAGAGUAGACACAACGAUGCCCCUCUCUCAGGAUACCUUGUGCUCCUUGCGUUGUGAGGUGAAAGGAGCUAGUGGCUGUGUCAUGACAGUUCUUCCCAGUGACUCUCAUCCCUGAGCGACAGGGUCGUCAGGGCCCAACGUUCCUUUCCUUUGCAAGCAACCUCAUGGAGAGCAGCAGAGGACGAUGCGGGUGUCCCCACUUCGAGACGCAGGCCGCCACAAAGAUUCCAAUUAUCCAUAACCAGAGACAUAGAGAGAUCGACAGGCGAGUCGAUGACUAGGCGAGGAAAGAAAUGAGGAAAGCAAUGGGCAUGACUGAAGAAAGUGGCCCCUAAGGAAGGAAGGCAACCAGUCCAUCCGUCAAUGGAUCCAGUGAAAGGCUUGAGGCCCACCAGGAAAGAGUCAGGAGGGAAAGCCAAACUUCCAGGGAGGUCGUAUUGGAGGAAAGGGUUCGCCGACCCUGGAGAGAGAGUCCGUGGAACCACGCCUCCUCCACGUUCUGUGGUGGGCACACGUGAGGGAAGGGUGAAAUCCCCCUUGGGGAGUCCAAUGCCAGUGUGUUUGAGGUGAGAGGUCCCUUGUGUGUUUGUGUCAGGUGUUGGCAGGAGUCCGGUUGCCACGACCCUGGAAGCUGGCAGCGUGGGCAGGACCGCAGGGGGCCCCGGCUUCACCAGUCCUGUGCCCAUAGCAGGAACUCCAGAACGUUCCGGGGGCUUCAUAGAAGUACCUGGUAGUGGGAGCACACUUGGAAACCCCAGCACGGCAGGGACGACCUUGCGGUUCAGAGGAGGAACCACUCUAGGUGUUCGGAGUGAACCUUCUGGGACAGGUGUUGGCGGGAGUCCGGUGGCCACGACCCUGGAAGCUGGCAGCGUGGGCAGGACCGCAGGGGGCCCUGGCUUCACCAGUCCUGGGCACCUAGCAGUGACCUCAGAAGGUUCAGAGUCCUUCAGAAAAGCAUCGGGGUUUGAGGACACAAGUGGUGUCCCAACUGCUCCAAGUUCAUCCUUGGGCGUCAGACAAGUAAGUACAUCUGAAACAUCUGGUGGUGUAACCAGUGGAGAUGAAAAUAAACCUGCAUCACCCAGCAGCAGUACUACAAGCUCUUCAGAUAAACCAGGUGAGAUUAGCUAAACACAAAAAGUCACAAAUAUCAGAUAUUUAUUUAGUUGGACAUCCUUCCUGCUUAAA